UACUAAAUGAAUGAAAUGAUGCAUUUCUUACUUUGGUUCAAUCCCUGACUCUCCUUCAGAGGCCCUGGCGAGGUAGACCUACUUGCUGUUGCUGCUCCGACUGCUGCGGACUGAGCCGGAUGGCCGCUGGUGCUGUGUGGAAGGAACGGGGUUGCUGAGAGGCCUCAGGGACUACCCAUUCACCCUGAGGUCCAGCUCUAAUGUCUCUUACUGGGAUACCUCCAAGCAGAGUCCUACUGGGAUACCAGCUUCCUCCUCUUGUUCCCCAGCCCUUAGCCCAUCUCUCAUCCUCACAGCACUUAGGACAAUAAACGUCAUUCUCUGUUUAUUGUUA